AUUCAAAUAGUUUAAAGAUAAAAUAUUGAUUUGUGGUAUCAAGGAAGUAAAAAAAUUACUUUGAAUU
rnacentral:tRNA from 1 species